UACGGAAGGCAGCAGUGGGGAAUAUUGCACAAUGGGCGCAAGCCUGAUGCAGCCAUGCCGCGUGUAUGAAGAAGGCCUUCGGGUUGUAAAGUACUUUCAGUCGUGGGGAAGGUGUUAAGGUUAAUAACCUUAGCAAUUGACGUUAGCGACAGAAGAAGCACCGGCUAACUCCGUGCCAGCAGCCGCGGUAAUACGGAGGGUGCGAGCGUUAAUCGGAAUUACUGGGCGUAAAGGGCACGCAGGCGGUUAAUUAAGUUGGAUGUGAAAUCCCCGGGCUUAACCUGGGAAUGGCAUUCAAGACUGGUUAGCUAGAGUCUUGUAGAGGGGGGUAGAAUUCCAUGUGUAGCGGUGAAAUGCGUAGAGAUGUGGAGGAAUACCGGUGGCGAAGGCGGCCCCUGGACAAAGACUGACGCUCAUGUGCGAAAGCGUGGGGAGCAAACAGGGAUUAGAUACC
rnacentral:rRNA from 1 species